rnacentral:rRNA from 1 species
AUGUUAGACGAAUAACCUGGAAAGGUUAAUCAGAGAAGGUAAAAAUCCUGUAGUCGAAAACAUCUUCCCUCCUGAGUGGAUCCUGAGUACGGCGGAGCACGUGAAAUUCCGUCGGAAUCUGGGAGGACCAUCUCCCAAGGCUAAAUACUCUCUAGUGACCGAUAGUGAACCAGUACCGUGAGGGAAAGGUGAAAAGUACCCCGGAAGGGGAGUGAAAGAGAACUUGAAACCGUGUGCUUACAAGUAGUCAGAGCCCGUUAAUGGGUGAUGGCGUGCCUUUUGUAGAAUGAACCGGCGAGUUACGAUCUGAUGCAAGGUUAAGCAGAAAAUGUGGAGCCGUAGCGAAAGCGAGUCUGAAUAGGGCGAAUGAGUAUUUGGUCGUAGACCCGAAACCAGGUGAUCUACCCUUGGUCAGGUUGAAGUUCAGGUAACACUGAAUGGAGGACCGAACCGACUUACGUUGAAAAGUGAGCGGAUGAACUGAGGGUAGCGGAGAAAUUCCAAUCGAACUUGGAGAUAGCUGGUUCUCUCCGAAAUAGCUUUAGGGCUAGCCUCAAGUGAUGAUUAUUGGAGGUAGAGCACUGUUUGGACGAGGGGCCCCUCUCGGGUUACCGAAUUCAGACAAACUCCGAAUGCCAAAUAAUUUAACUUGGGAGUCAGAACAUGGGUGAUAAGGUCCGUGUUCGAAAGGGAAACAGCCCAGACCACCAGCUAAGGUCCCAAAAUAUAUGUUAAGUGGAAAAGGAUGUGGCGUUGCCCAGACAACUAGGAUGUUGGCUUAGAAGCAGCCAUCAUUUAAAGAGUGCGUAAUAGCUCACUAGUCGAGUGACACUGCGCCGAAAAUGUACCGGGGCUAAACAUAUUACCGAAGCUGUGGAUUGUCCUUUAGGACAAUGGUAGGAGAGCGUUCUAAGGGCGUUGAAGCAUGAUCGCAAGGACAUGUGGAGCGCUUAGAAGUGAGAAUGCCGGUGUGAGUAGCGAAAGACGGGUGAGAAUCCCGUCCACCGAUUGACUAAGGUUUCCAGAGGAAGGCUCGUCCGCUCUGGGUUAGUCGGGUCCUAAGCUGAGGCCGACAGGCGUAGGCGAUGGAUAACAGGUUGAUAUUCCUGUACCACCAUGAUUCGUUUUAAGCGAUGGGGGGACGCAGUAGGAUAGGCGAAGCGUGCUGUUGGAGUGCACGUCCAAGCAGUAAGACUGAGUGUUAGGCAAAUCCGGCACUCA